AGUCGACGAUGAAUCUUCUAGCUUGCUAGAAGUGGAUUAGUGGCGCACGGGUGAGUAAUGCAUAGGUUAUGUGCCCUUUAGUCUGGGAUAGCCACUGGAAACGGUGAUUAAUACUGGAUACUCCCUACGGGGGAAAGUUUUUCGCUAAAGGAUCAGCCUAUGUCCUAUCAGCUUGUUGGUGAGGUAAUGGCUCACCAAGGCUAUGACGGGUAUCCGGCCUGAGAGGGUGAUCGGACACACUGGAACUGAGACACGGUCCAGACUCCUACGGGAGGCAGCAGUAGGGAAUAUUGCUCAAUGGGGGAAACCCUGAAGCAGCAACGCCGCGUGGAGGAUGAAGGUUUUAGGAUUGUAAACUCCUUUUGUUAGAGAAGAUUAUGACGGUAUCUAACGAAUAAGCACCGGCUAACUCCGUGCCAGCAGCCGCGGUAAUACGGAGGGUGCAAGCGUUACUCGGAAUCACUGGGCGUAAAGAGUGCGUAGGCGGGGUAAUAAGUCAGAUGUGAAAUCCUGUAGCUUAACUACAGAACUGCAUUCGAAACUGUUACUCUGGAGUGUGGGAGAGGUAGGUGGAAUUCUUGGUGUAGGGGUAAAAUCCGUAGAGAUCAAGAGGAAUACUCAUUGCGAAGGCGACCUGCUGGAACAUUACUGACGCUGAUGCACGAAAGCGUGGGGAGCAAACAGGAUUAGAUACCCUGGUAGUCCACGCCCUAAACGAUGGAUGCUAGUUGUUGCCUUGCUUGUCAGGGCAGUAAUGCAGCUAACGCAUUAAGCAUCCCGCCUGGGGAGUACGGUCGCAAGAUUAAAACUCAAAGGAAUAGACGGGGACCCGCACAAGCGGUGGAGCAUGUGGUUUAAUUCGAAGAUACGCGAAGAACCUUACCUAGGCUUGACA
rnacentral:rRNA from 1 species